rnacentral:rRNA from 1 species
UACGGGGGGUGCAAGCGUUGUUCGGAUUUAUUGGGCGUAAAGCGCGUGUAGGCGGUUUGUUAAGUCUGAUGUGAAAGCCCUGGGCUCAACCCAGGAAGUGCAUUGGAAACUGGUCGACUAGAGUGUGGCAGAGGGUAGUGGAAUUCCUGGUGUAGCAGUGAAAUGCGUAGAGAUCAGGAGGAACAUCCGUGGCGAAGGCGGCUGCCUGGACCGAUAUUGACGCUGAGACGCGAAAGCGUGGGUAGCAAACAGG